GCUUGAGGGAGUUCCUCCGAUUCUUCUGAUGCAAGACCGUCACCUGACUCUUUAGAUCACCCGACUCCAUUUCUAGAAAGUUCGAGAACCGACAUAUUGACUUGAGACGUUUCGCUCAUUUUGCUGUCACUCAUUUCAAGAACAUGAUGUUUUCCGGGCUGCUGACAAACGCACUAAAGAGAAAUUCAGCCAUAUGUAGGAAAAUGCACUUAAAAGAAAAGAAACACAAGAAACCGAUGCCCCAGGAAAGAGGGAAUAAAUCACCACUGGAGGGAGUGAAAGAGGACGAAGACAUGUUUAGGCACAGAAUUGAAAGUCUCCCCGGGAACCGUCCUAAUAUGAAACAGGAAUCUGAGGUUCUGGUGACUUGAAGGAUCCAGAGACUUCGACACACCAGGACAUUAUAGUGGGAACAACAGGGAAAACAAUCCAUAUGUUUUUGACAUUAUUUUCAAUACCGUUUAUCCUGUGCAGCAUCGUUUGAAGCAUGGAGCGUACCCCGUCAACUUCUGCACAAGGUGGGGUACGCCCUGGACAUGGUGCCGAUCCAUUGCAGGUCACACCUGCGCACACACUCAAAUAUUCACACACUACAGGGAAAAUGAGGAAUGCCAAAUAGCCUAAUCUGCAUUUUUUUUUUGGACUGUGGGAGGAAACCGAAGCACUCAGAGGAAACCCACCAAGCACUGGUAAAUAAGAUGUGAACCAAACCCUUGAACCUGGAGGUGCAAGGCCACAAUGAUAACCAUCCUGUCACCUUUGGCUAGUGUUGUUUUGCAUUAAGUAAAUAUGCACAUUACUGUUGUUUUUUUAAAUGACUGUUCAAUAAUGCACUAGUAAUGUUUUUGCUUACCGUUUAAAUUGUGUUUCUAAAUUUGUAAUACUGUACAAUCUAUUUGUAUAAGCUGCUGGGGGGGUUGUUAAACUUAUUUUUAAAUGUUUUAGAAAAUGUUUGUGUUGAUGCUUUUAUACAUUUCACUUUAAACUUGAGAUACAGUUAUGUAUCUUAAGUUUUAUUUUAUGUUGAUUUAUAAAAUAAUUUGUCUUGUC